rnacentral:rRNA from 1 species
AAGCUCGUAGUUGAAUUUCGGGAUUAGUACGUCGGUCGUGCCUUAGGUACGUACUGGUGUUACUGGUUCCUACCUUCUGACGAACCAUCAUGUCAUUAAUUUGGUGUGGUGGGGAAUCAGGACUGUUACUUUGAAAAAAAUUGAGUGUUUAAAGCAGGCUCGCGCUUGAAUACAUUAGCAUGGAAUAAUGAAAUAGGACGCUGAUCCUAUUUUGUUGGUUUCUAGGAUUGACGUAAUGAUUAAUAGGGAUAGGUUGGG